rnacentral:rRNA from 1 species
GAUGAACGCUGGCGGCGUGCCUAAUACAUGCAAGUCGAGCGAACGGACGCUACGCUUGCUUCUCUGAUGUUAGCGGCGCACGGGUGAGUCACACGUGUAUCCCCUCCCUAUAUUACUGGUAUCACUUCGGGACACCGGAUCUUAUCCCGUAUAAUCUUUUGCACCGCAUUGUUCAAAAGUGAAUUUCGGUCUUUCUGUCACUUCUCGCUGGAUCCCGGCUUCAUUAGCUAGUUGUUAAGGUAACGGCUUACCAAGGCAACGAUGCCUAGCCGACCUGAGAGGGGGAUCGGCGACACUGGAACUGAGACACGGUCAAGACGCCUACGGGAGGCAGCAGUAGGGAAUGGGCCGCAAUGGGGGAAAGCAUGACGGAGCAAGGGCGAGGGAGUGAUGAAGGUCUUGGGAUCGUAAAACUCUGUUAUUAGGGAAGAACAUAUGUGGAAGGAAAUGAGGAGAGAGUGACGGUAACGAAUAAGAAAGCAACGGCUAACUACGUG